AUUGAACGCUGGCGGCAGGCCUAACACAUGCAAGUCGAACGGCAGCACAGAAGAGCUUGCUCUUUGGGUGGCGAGUGGCGGACGGGUGAGUAAUGUCUGGGAAACUGCCCGAUGGAGGGGGAUAACUACUGGAAACGGUAGCUAAUACCGCAUAACGUCGCAAGACCAAAGUGGGGGACCUUCGGGCCUCACACCAUCGGAUGGACCCAGAUGGGAUUAGCUAGUAGGCGGGGUAAUGGCCCACCUAGGCGACGAUCCCUAGCUGGGCUGAGAGGAUGACCAGCCACACUGGAACUGAGACACGGUCCAGACUCCUACGGGAGGCAGCAGUGGGGAAUAUUGCACAAUGGGCGCAAGCCUGAUGCAGCCAUGCCGCGUGUAUGAAGAAGGCCUUCGGGUUGUAAAGUACUUUCAGCGGGGAGGAAGGCGAUAAGGUUAAUAACCUUGUCGAUUGACGUUACCCGCAGAAGAAGCACCGGCUAACUCCGUGCCAGCCGCCACCGUAA
rnacentral:rRNA from 1 species